UGGGGGAUAUUGCACAAUGGGCGCAAGCCUGAAGUAGCGACGCCGCGUGGGGGAUGAAGGCCUUCGGGUUGUAAACUUCUUUUGCUCUGAACAAGGCGCACUUUGGGGUGUGUUGAGUGUAGGGGUUGAUUAGCGCCGGCUAACUACGUGCCAGCAGCCGCGGUAAUACGUAGGGCGCGAGCGUUGUCCGGAAUUAUUGGGCGUAAAGGGCUUGUAGGUGGCUGGUUGCGUCUGUCGUGAAAGCUCAUGGCUUAACUGUGGGUUUGCGGUGGGUACGGGCUGGCUUGAGUGCAGUAGGGGAGGCUGGAAUUCCUGGUGUAGCGGUGGAAUGCGCAGAUAUCAGGAGGAAUACCGGUGGCGAAGGCGGGUCUCUGGGCUGUUACUGACACUGAGGAGCGAAAGCAUGGGGAGCGAACAGG
rnacentral:rRNA from 1 species